UUGAAACCCUAACCUCAUAUCGUUCCCAGGAACGAUGUACCGGCCUAUUAUGACUAUAAAUUGAAUUCCACCCCUGAACCCUAGUCGGCCAUAUUGCAUCUUCAGCUUCUGGCUUCUGGUGCUGCGGGAGCGGCCGGGUAUCAUCUUACUCAGUCUGCAGGCGACGGCUACAAAUCCAAAAGAACGGACGAAGAUCAUGUGUAGACAUCAAUCACAGAAAAAGUCUGAAUUUAUGGCAACGGUUAACGUUUUUAAGAAUUUAAGCAAUUGGAAAAGUGUCAUCAAGAGGCUGGAUUUACAUGUUAUAUGCUUUUAUAUGUCACUGAAAAAGACACAAAGAUAGCCGUCAUAUAUUAUCUGUAAUUAAAUAUUUUGAUAGAAUAAUAAAAUAAAAUGCUUUAUAGGUUGAAUCAUAUAAAGCUGGUCAAAACUCAGAUAA